rnacentral:rRNA from 1 species
UGGGGAAUUUUGGACAAUGGGCGAAAGCCUGAUCCAGCAAUGCCGCGUGUGUGAAGAAGGCCUUCGGGUUGUAAAGCACUUUUGUCCGGAAAGAAAUCCUUGGCUCUAAUACAGUCGGGGGAUGACGGUACCGGAAGAAUAAGCACCGGCUAACUACGUGCCAGCAGCCGCGGUAAUACGUAGGGUGCAAGCGUUAAUCGGAAUUACUGGGCGUAAAGCGUGCGCAGGCGGUUUGCUAAGACCGAUGUGAAAUCCCCGGGCUCAACCUGGGAACUGCAUUGGUGACUGGCAGGCUAGAGUAUGGCAGAGGGGGGUAGAAUUCCACGUGUAGCAGUGAAAUGCGUAGAGAUGUGGAGGAAUACCGAUGGCGAAGGCAGCCCCCUGGGCCAAUACUGACGCUCGUGCACGAAAGCGUGGGGAGCAAACAGGAUUAGAUACCCUGGUAGUCCACGCCCUAAACGAUGUCAACUAGUUGUUGGGGAUUCAUUUCCUUAGUAACGUAGCUAACGCGUGAAGUUGACCGCCUGGGGAGUACGGUCGCAAGAUUAAAACUCAAAGGAAUUGACGGGGUCAUAGCUGUUUCCU